CGCCUCCCUCCCCUCCCGUCGCCUCCCUCCGUCCCUCGGUACCUCCAAACGCCGCCCGAUCUGCGCCCUCCGCCGCCCACCGGCGCUUGCUCCGGGCCUCCGGUGCGCCACCCCGCCGCCGGAAGGGGCCUCCUCGCCCUCACCUCCCCCUCCGGAGACGCGUCCCCGGACCUCGCCGUCGCCACCCUCUUCCUGCAUGCCCGGUCGGCGCCGCCGGCUACCCUGCAGGCCGGCAUUGCCCCUGGAGGCUAGAGGUCGGCGGCCCCUGCUCCCUGAGGUUGGCGCCCCCUGCUUCUGGAACCGGGUUUCUAGCCCUAAUCCCGCAAAAAAGAUGUUUUCUUGGGCCUAGCAGCCUCUAGCCUGGGACGGAGGCAUGGACGGCGGCUUACGGGAGGUGGGCUCGAACAGCGGGAGGUUCCCGAUUCUGCAGGCGAAUAGGGAUCCCGAGUCGAAUUGGGAGGUGGACGUUGCCAAGAGCCUCGAGGAGUACCUGCUCAAGAUCUGCUCAGGGGAGGUCUCCGGCGAGGACGGGGCCCACUCUGUCAACUUUGCCGAAGCCGCAUUAUUACUCCAAGGAUCGGUUCAAGUGUACAGUAGGAAGGUGGAGUUCUUGUACUCGUUGGUGCUUCAUGCGUUAGAGUUCCUUUCGCAAAAGAAGCAGGAUCAACUGGAAAAUGGCUCAGCUCAAGCUAAUCAAAGUGACCCUAGCACGAUUGCCAAUGAAGAAGAUGAUAUAUUUAUGGGGUUAGAUGAUGUCCCUGCGGAAUCAAGGACAUCUCUGAAUAACAAUGUCAAUCGAGAUGGUUUACGAAGCAAAAUUGUGAGGCCACCAGCAAAUCUACUGGUGUUUGAAGGGGACUGUCUGGAUAGUGAAGCGAGUGAGCUAGACACAUAUUUGUUAGCAACAUGUGAUUUUUAUGGAGAUUUCCUCCUGCUGGAUCCUUGUGAUGCACCAGCUGUUUUUGACUUCCUGCAAGGAAAACAUUCUGGUAAAGAAAAUAGUGUGGCUCAUCAAGGCAGUUCAGCACCUUCUAAAAGCCGAGCCAAUGUUUUCACUUCCCCAAAUGCUAGAUCAGCGGGCACAGGUCGUAAAUCGUCCGCUGGAAAAGUCUUAGGAGGUCUAGAUCCAACCCAGGGGAAUCCUGACCAAUCUUCAACUCAAGAAACCAUUCCUGAUGACAACCAUUGGUCUGAUCCUGUUGAACCUAGCUUUGCUGAUGAUGUUGAAAUGCCUCACCCAGAUGAUAUAGAGGAUCCUGUUGGAGAUUAUUCUGAUGAUGAGGAUCCAUGGAAACCUUUGAAUCCACAUGAACCUGGCAACCUAAAGAUUCGGCCUUACCGAAGAGUGAAAGGUUCUCCACGGGCGGUUAUUGGCACUUCGAAAAAGAAAACUCUCACAUUUCUUUUUCCUAUGGCAAAGAUGGAUGGCGUCGUCAUACCUGAACAUGCUAAAUCUUUUGAAGCGCAGCAGUCUCAGCAGGAGGAACAUUAUGGUUCCCAAUCACCCCCUCGUUUUGAAAAGUUUUUGAGAUCAUUUGAAUUUGGAGAAGAAAAUCCCAAUGUGUUUGGAGAUUUGAAAGAUGACAAUGGAUCAAAUACUGGCAUUAAUUUUGAGAGUGAUGAUCCAGACAUGCCAAAUGACAUAGAUGUUGAUCCUUAUGUUCCAACAUAUCCUGGCGAGACUAUUGCUGCAACUCCGAAUGGUACACAGGAUGACAUAAAUACACAUACAAGCCUCGACGACUUGUGUCGGUCACAUCUGAAUGCUCUCCUUGCCAGCAUCGCUGAGGCUGAAAAGCAGAGUGAGAUGGAUGCUCGAGUUUCAACAUGGAAAGAAAGAAUUGAGGAUGCCUUGGAAGAGCAGGAUAAAAACCCACCUUUUGAUAUCGGUUCAUAUGGGGAGCAAAUCCUUGACACACUUUCAUCAAGAACUGACAAUACAGGAACUGCAUCUUUUAGUGAGAUUGUUAGUGGCAGACCAAAAUAUGAGGUUGCCAGAACAUUCUCUGCCCUUCUCCAGUUGGUGAACGGCAGAAGUGUUGAUCUGGACAAAGGACAAGCCACAAAUGAGUUGGUGUGUUACACAGCAGAGAAUCCAUUCCAUGUAAGGCUCAUUGGUCCCAACCGGAGGCCAGAAAUGGAGGCACACUUUGCUCGGAAGAGAGUCAAGUCCCCACUGCAAAAUGCAGGCAAAGGUGGUGAGUCCUCCCCCAAGAAGCGAGGGCUGACUACCAGAUGGGAAGCGAAGGCGAAAGUCAGCUGCUCACCUAAUGCAGCCGAUCAAUCUGGAAUCCAGAGGCCAGAAAUGGAGGCACACUUUGCUCCGAAGAGAGUCAAGUCCCCAUUGCAAAAUGCAGGCAAAGGUGGUAAGUCCUCCCCCAAGAAGCGAAGGCUGACUACCAGAUGGGAAGCGAAGGCGAAGGUUAUCUGCUCACCUAAUGCAGCCGAUCAAUCUGGAAUCUAGCGGAUGAAUGCCAAUGGCAAACUGACUCGUGGGCAUCUAGAGUCUGAUUCUUCUAAUUGUUGUGACUUCAGUGGUGGCUUCGUAGGCAGGAUUAGGUGGAAGAGAGUCAAGUCCCCAUUGCAAAAUGCAGGCAAAGGUGGUGAGUCCUCCCCCAAGAAGCGAAGGCUGACUACCAGAUGGGAAGCGAAGGCGAAGGUUAGCUGCUCACCUAAUGCAGCCGAUCAAUCUGGAAUCUAGCGGAUGAAUGCCAAUGGCAAACUGACUCGUGGGCAUCUAGGGUCUGAUUCUUCUAAUUGUUGUGACUUCAGUAGUGGCUUCGUAGGCAGGAUGGGCUGUGACGCCUAAGUUUAGACUUAGGCGUAGCUAGCGGGUGUUGUUCAUUGUGCUGUUUUGUGUGUAUUGGUAUCAGCUCUCAAGUGUAAUGCUAACAGGGCAAGCAUGAAUUGUUGGACGGACUUGCCCUUUUAUAGCGGUACGACAAUAAACUAGCGCGAUGCCAAGUCUAUUGUAUGUUGCUGGUGUUUUUAUUA